rnacentral:lncRNA from 1 species
UGCCAGUUUCAUUUCUUCUACUAAUGUAUAAGCCUAUCAAGAUAGUCCCAAGCAACUAUACACCAUCUAAUAAUCUCAACAUUCUGUUUAUCUACAAACCACUGAUUAAUUAUAACUUUAGUAACAACUUGUACACUUGAUGCAGCUAGUGGUAAUUAAUAACAUUGAAACAAUAUAAAAGAAAAAAAAAAACAAAAAAACAAAAACCCAAAUACGAAAGCACCCUCUUGAAUUUGAAAAUCACUGGAGAAAGAAAAGUAAGAUAAGAAAGCUCACAGCAAUCUGGGUUUGUUUCAGGUUGUCAGACCAAUUAAAUCACCCUCCUCUCUUCUUCUUUUUUUCCCCUUUUCUCGACUUUUUCUGUUCUUUGUUGUUUAAUAUUUCUCACUCCACAGUCACUUUCUCAGCCUUUCCUUCACUUUCUUUCAUUAUUUUCCCUGAAAAAUAAUGAUAGAAACAGUUUCUAUUUCUUUCUUCGUCUUGUCUUUGUUUUCUUUUUCUAUUCGAAAGUGUCAACAAGCAGACAAUAAGCAAGCCCAAAUCUAUCCAUUCCA